ACUAAUGUUUAAGCAAGGCAUGCACAACGGGUAACAACAGGCAAGCAGGGAGGAAGCUACUUGAGAUAUUGAAGAGAUCAUAAAUCAUAAAUACUUUCAAACCAACUUCUUCCAAAUACAUCUGCAAAUUCAGACAACCUCUAACAAGGAAUUACACAAAUAUGUAUUUUUAUAAAUCCAUGUUUAUCCAGAAAAUGUAAAAUUCAAUGAGAGAAUGCAGAUAAGUUAUACUAAUCAAGGAACUCACCAAUGAACAUACUAAAAAUAUAAUUACCAACAUUGCUUUAGUUCAUCAUUAUAAAACCAUAUAUUUGGAAAAUUCCCUCAAUCAAUAGUUGCUUAAUCGAUCAUGUACCCAUAAACCCAUAAUCGCAAUUGUUAAACGCCAACCUAUAGAUCAAAUAGACAAAAAAAAGGAUCGUCCCUCAUCGCACAGGAAAGGUAAAAGAUAACUAUUCAUAUUGAC